GCUGCGGGUCCAUUUUGUUUCCCGCUUCGCUGCGUAUCUGGAGGUUGGUUCUCUUCGUCCCAGCUCCGAAGCGAAGGGCUUAAAAGAAAGAAACAAACAUUAUAAGGAUAAUCCGGGAAUCCUGUGACCACUUCCACUCCAGCAGUGACGUGAUCAGCCGUCCCCGAGGGGCGCGAGUAAGAAGGACGUCGAUACUGCGGUUCUGAAGAGUAGCCGGAAAAAUGCGGCCCUUGGACAUCGAAGAGGUGGAGGCACCCGAGGAGGUCGAGUUGCUGGAACCCGAGGAAGAUUUCGAGCAGUUCCUGCUGCCAGUCAUCAACGAGAUGCGGGAGGAUAUCGCGUCUCUCAUACGAGAGCACGGGAGAGCGUAUCUGAGGACCAGGAGCAAGCUGUGGGAGAUGGACAAUAUGCUCAUCCAGAUCAAGACCCAGGUGGAGGCGUCGGAGGAGAGCGCGUUGAAUCACGUUCAGAACCCAGGUGGAGACGCUGAUGAGAGAGUGUCGGAAUUGUGCGAGAAGGCCGAGGAAAAGGCCAAAGAGAUUGCGAAGAUGGCAGAGAUGCUGGUGGAGCUAGUCUGGCGAAUAGAGAAGAGCGAGUCGUCGUGAAGGGGGAGCGGCGGUAAGGCCGGCUACCCGCGGGAGCUGGACUCAGUCUCGGUUCACAAUUGAUGGACUCUGGUCAACGGGUAACAAUGGACUUGAAGAAACUGAAACAGCUUGUCAUUUUCGCUGUUUUGUUUUUGUAGGUUUUUUACCCCCGUGUAACAGUCUCCCUUAUGGUCAGUGGUUGAUGACCUGCUAUGGGUUUAUAUUGUCAGAUGUAUUGGAUCUGUAAAAAUAACUUUUUUUGAGAAAUAUUCUCAAGAGGGAAAUGGGGCUUAAUCAAAAGUUGUUUCAGUCAUCACGUUUGUUGCUAUUUUGCUGUGUUUUCGAAGUGUUGGGCAUGGCCUUGUAUUUUUGCUGUUAACCUAUGUGACCUGGUUGCUUUCUGGAAGUUUGGAACAAAUGAAGACUUGGGAUCAGAAUCUUCCAACUCUAGAGGUGCAGUGGGAAGCACUUCUGGGUUGCAGCUGGCGAAGGAUGUGUAAAUGAGACUGCUUGGAUCAGACUGGGAAGAACUCCAACACAGUUGAGGAUGGAAGAUGGUUUUGUAAAUAUUUCAGAACUUUAAUUUCUCUGUGAGACGCAGGAGGAGAGCUGUGUUUUGUGGCUCAUCUCUCAUGUAUAUUGUGUAUCCUGUCAGGUGAGUUUAUUUAGACAAUAUAGCUGACUAUGUGACGAAGAAGUUGUGACGCCCUCACAUUAUUGGGGCUUCAGCGUAUAGCAUCAAAAAGACAAUCUACAAAGGUCCUGGAGAGGCUGGAGAAAGGAAAACGCAUCAUCGGGUAAUAGACUGAAUGGCGUUGAGGUCAAAAUCAAACAUGUAAUGUGUUCGUUUGCCUUGAUAAACAAAGUCUUACAGAGCCUUUGUUUGAUUUUUUUAUUGUUGUUCAUAUGACCAAAUCCCUUGUGUGUAUCAAUAAAAGAAUUAUAAGUAAA